UAUGCAUGCAUUAGAUCUUUGAUUUUUUAUAUUGUCUGCUCCCACUGUAGUCUAAGCUCCAGGGGGCAGAAGCCAUACCCGAUUCUUCUCUCUGUUGUAUCCCCCACACCUAGCACAGGGUCUGUCACAGAG